GGCGCAAUGGUAGAGCAGCAGCUUCCCAAGCUGAAUACGAGGGUUCGAUUCCCUU
rnacentral:tRNA from 1 species